rnacentral:lncRNA from 1 species
AUAUCGCUUUUUAAAUAUUAAGCGCGUGGUCUGAAGAAUUUAUUCUGUUUAUGAAACGUUUCGGUGUGUUCUUUUCUCAAGGAAAUACAUUUUUGUAUGGCGAAUAUUCCUCCUACAGUUCUUUUGUAGGAGAUAAUACCUACGACAAAUUCGUGUUGUUAUCCUCAAGGUUUUCACAAACUUGUGUAAGAGGCGUAACAGACUGGUGUGAUAUUUACCACAGAAAAAAGACGCCUCCGAGUCUUACAAAACGUCAGCCAUAAAAAAAAUCUGUAAAAAAAAAAAUAAAGAUUAAGUUUAUUAAUACUCGACGUUAGUUAUAUUCCCUCUUUCUUUAUAUAAAAGGAGGAUUUUAGGUUAAAAAUCGAUCAAUUUUUUAGUGUUACAGAUAAACUAUCGCAUUUUAUUCCGUUAUCUGUUAACGACAUAAACUAGUGUAU